UUUUCUUAUUUUUCGUUUUUCCCCGUGUCCUCACCCGAACCUCGCCCGAGUCUUCUUCUUCUUCCCCCGCGCCUUCUCCCCCUCGCGGCGAAUCUGCCCUAACCGCUGCUUGUGGCAGUUCCUUCUCCUCUUGCGUGAGCCAGGACCAAAGAGAGGCCGGCGCUUCUCUUCUCCCAAUUUUUUUUUCCCGAUUCCUUCUGCCCGAUACCUCCUUCCCUCUCUGGCGACUCCUUCGUUCCGAUCACCGACGCCGAGCAUCCUUCCUCUCCCUCUCAAGGUGUGGAGCUUCGCCCCAUUCUCGCGCGACCUCCUGUUCCCGCGACGCCGAAGCCACCACCGGCCGAGCAGCCCUUCCGAUCUUUCUUUCCUCUGUUCUUGGCGUCUCCACGCAACCUGCCGAUGGUCGCUCCAUUACCGCGGAGAUCCCAUCACGCCAGCGUCGAUCUGCCCACCUCCUCUUCUCAGUCGAUCGCCGGCAUCCAAGCCCUAGCGCUGUUGUUGUCGCCACAGCUAACGCGGCCGAGACUCCCCUCUGCCCUAGCGUCGACAGCCGGCCGAAGCUUCCAUUCCUCCUCGUGCCUCUGAUCUAGUGCGAUUGCUGCCCUGUUUCUGCCCUAGCGCCAGCAGCCAAGAUCCCUCCAGUCGAUCGCGUCUGAGGAUAGGGUUUCCUUCAUCCCGGUGGUAGGACAUCGUGAUGUUGUCGAUCACCAUGAUGCUAGAUCUUAGUUGUUGAUGGCAGAUUAGGCGACUAGCAACACCUCUCCAUUGAUCACAGCGGUGCUCUACUACUUACUGCCACCGUAAAGCUGCUUACCUUGAAUUUCAGUAGCCGACAACCUUUAUUCCAGUAGCAAACAGCCCUUCACCAGCAGCAAGAACGGCUGUGAAUUGAGGUACCAGGUUAUUUAUGGUGUCGCUUGGAGCAUCCUGUUUGCUGGUCCCCGCGUCACAUCAGA